ACAGUUGGAGGGAUCAAGUCCCAAUUCCCAAGAUUUUUCUGGACUAGAGACUGUAAUAAAUUGUCAGGAUUUUGGUUAGCACUUUUGUUUUGACCAUCAAUUUGAGGUUGGUUAGUGGUGGAUAAUUUUGCCUUAGUGUUAACCACAGGCGACUGGAUUUUCCAAGGGUGACUGGUGACAUCAUCAAGCUCUUUAACUUGGGUAAGGGUAUGACAUAUAACAUGUGAUCGAGAAUUGUCGGAGAUAAGGGGUAUAGUAUCCAAAGUCUUGAGAAGAGUCUGGAUUCCACCUAAGGAAGUGUCCUUACUAUCAUCCAAGUCAUCAAAAUCUUCAAGUUUAGGUUCAUAGACUAGAUCUUCUAACGACUCCUCUAUUACAUUCUUUCGUUCUUCCAUGACUAAGGUUCGAUUAGGACAUUUAGAAGAAAUGUGACCAAAGUCUUUACAGUUGACGUAGAACAAGUGAGAAGAAGACCUUGGAGUUUCAGAAAUUUUACCCUGAUUUUUCAAGAUUGGAGAACCAUUAGAAGGGGGAGAUCUUAGAAGGGACUUAACGGGAGGAGGUGGAGCCAAUGAAGCCAAAUGAUGAUUAUAAAAAAUUUUACCCUUAUUUUUUAAAAUUGGAGGAACAUCAGACGGGAUAGGUCUUAGAAGGGACUUAACGGGAGGAAUUGGAGCCAAUGACACCGAAGGAUGAUUGUCAAUAUGCUUUCUACAUGGAAAAGAAGAUCUUGGACUAUCACAACCUUUACAAUUAUUUUUCCAAAUAGGAGGAACAUUAGACGGAAACGGUUUUAUGAUAGACUUAUGAUGAGGUGACGAAUUGUCAAUAUAACAUAUGCUGAUCCAUAUUGAAAAACAAACAACUAUAUUACGACGAAUUUUCAGAGAACCAUUUUCUUUGUCUCUAUUAAGUUAUUUCAUUGUUUGAAAUAAGGGCCCGCAUAAUUGUAAACAUGGAAUUUGGGUAGGAAAAAAAUGAAUUUCGAGGAAUUGAAUUGCUUAGAAAUUGUUUUCCUGUAAAUUGUAAAUUAAUGUAUUUGAUUAAUAUAAUUUUUCACAUGAAAAAUGUUGAAAUAAAAGUGAUUUUUUGUAUUCGUUUGACUUUGUUUUACAUGAAAAUUGUCAAUUAAAGGGAUAGAUUUUGCUGAUAUUGAGAUGAAAUUUGUUUCUAUAACAAAAAAAAUCAAUAAAAAAAAAAUCAAUCAAAUGAAAGUAUAUAUCUUUUGGUAUUCGUUUGACUUUAUUUUAUAUGAAAAUUGUCAAUUAAAUUGAAAUAUUUUUUUACAAUAAUUCUUAGAAUUUGUUUUCAAUGCCAACCAAAAAAAAUAAAAAAAAUUGCUACAAUCAACUGGAAAAUGAAUUCUCACCAUUUCCUCCAAAAAAUGGACAAAAUCUAUGUGGCAUGAAAAUGUGGAAAAUGAAUUCCAAGAAAAUUUUUGCCAAUCAAACACCCAAAAAAUGGAAAGUUAAAAUUUCANAUCAAUUUGAGGUUGGUCAGUGGUGGAUAAUUUUGCCUUAGUGUUAACCACAGGCGACUGGAUUUUCCAAGGGUGACUGGUGACAUCAUCAAGCUCUUUAACUUGGGUAAGGGUAUGACAUAUAACAUGUGAUCGAGAAUUGUCGGAGAUAAGGGGUAUAGUAUCC
rnacentral:lncRNA from 1 species